rnacentral:rRNA from 1 species
CAGUCGCCGCGGGAAUACGAAGGGGGCUAGCGUUGUUCGGAUUUACUGGGCGUAAAGCGCACGUAGGCGGACUUUUAAGUCAGGGGUGAAAUCCCGGGGCUCAACCCCGGAACUGCCUUUGAUACUGGAAGUCUUGAGUAUGGUAGAGGUGAGUGGAAUUCCGAGUGUAGAGGUGAAAUUCGUAGAUAUUCGGAGGAACACCAGUGGCGAAGGCGGCUCACUUGACCAUUACUGACGCUGAGGUGCGAAAGCGUGGGGAGCAAACAGGAUUAGAUACCCGGGUAGUCCUGUCUCUUAUACA